CCCGAGCUGUCCAACGCCGCAACCUAAUGCGGGUCCGUAUCAUACGGAUGGCAGCAAAUAACGCCAUGUGAGGAACAGGGGCGUUAUGUUAAAACCGGAUGUUUCUGCCGGUAAA
rfam:Mahella australiensis 50-1 BON, complete genome.